rnacentral:rRNA from 1 species
GCAUAUCAAUAAGCGGAGGAAAAGAAACCAACAGGGAUUGCCUCAGUAACGGCGAAGUGAAGCGGCAACAGCUCAAAUUUGAAAUCUGGCCUCGGCCCGAGUUGUAAUUUGUAGAGGAAGCUUUUGGUGCGGCACCGACCGAGUCCCCUGGAACGGGGCGCCAUAGAGGGUGAGAGCCCCGUAUGGUUGGACGCCUAUCCUCUGUAAAGCUCCUUCGACGAGUCGAGUAGUUUGGGAAUGCUGCUCAAAAUGGGAGGUAAAUUUCUUCUAAAGCUAAAUACUGGCCAGAGACCGAUAGCGCACAAGUAGAGUGAUCGAAAGAUGAAAAGCACUUUGAAAAGAGGGUUAAACAGCACGUGAAAUUGUUGAAAGGGAAGCGCCUGUGACCAGACUUGCGCCUCGUCGAUCAUCCGGGGUUCUCCCCGGUGCGCUCGGCGGGGCUCAGGCCAGCAUCGGUUCUCGCGGGGGGACAAAGGCUCCGGGAACGUAGCUCCUCCGGGAGUGUUAUAGCCCGGGGCGCAAUGCCCCCGCGGGGACCGAGGACCGCGCUUCGGCAAGGAUGCUGGCGUAAUGGUCACCAGCGACCCGUCUUGAAACACGGACCAAGGAGUCAAGGUUUUGCGCGAGUGUUUGGGUGUAAAACCCGCACGCGUAAUGAAAGUGAACGUAGGUGAGAGCUUCGGCGCAUCAUCGACCGAUCCUGAUGUAUUCGGAUGGAUUUGAGUAGGAGCGUUAAGCCUUGGACCCGAAAGAUGGUGAACUAUGCUUGGAUAGGGUGAAGCCAGAGGAAACUCUGGUGGAGGCUCGCAGCGGAUCUGACGUGCAAAUCGAUCGUCAAAUCUGAGCAUGGGGGGCGAAAGACUAAUCGAACCAUCUAGUAGCUGGUUACCGC